rnacentral:tRNA from 1 species
GCUCAGUUGGUAGAGCAUGAGACUCUUAAUCUCAGGGUCGUGGGUUCGUGCCCCAC